rnacentral:rRNA from 1 species
GAUGAACGCUGGCGGCGUGCCUAAUACAUGCAAGUCGAGCGAACGGACGAGAAGCUUGCUUCUCUGAUGUUAGCGGCGGACGGGUGAGUAACACGUGGAUAACCUACCUAUAAGACUGGGAUAACUUCGGGAAACCGGAGCUAAUACCGGAUAAUAUUUUGAACCGCAUGGUUCAAAAGUGAAAGACGGUCUUGCUGUCACUUAUAGAUGGAUCCGCGCUGCAUUGGCUAGUUGGUAAGGUAACGGCUUACCAAGGCAACGCUGCAUAGCCGACCUGAGAGGGGGAUCGCCGACACUGGAACUUAGACACGGUCCAGACUCCUACGGGAGGCACCAGUAGGGAAUCUUCCGCAAUGGGCGAAAGCCUUACGGAGCAACGCCGCGUGAGUGAUGAAGGUCUUCGGAUCGUAAAACUCUGUUAUUAGGGAAGAACAUAUGUGUAAGUAACUGUGCACAUCUUGACGGUACCUAAUCAGAAAGCCACGGCUAACUACGUG